CCUACGGGUGGCUGCAGGCGAGAAUCAUUCACAAUGGGGGAAACCCUGAUGGUGCGACGCCGCGUUGGGGAAUGAAGGUCUUCGGAUUGUAAACCCCUGUCAUGUGGGAGCAAAUUAAAAAGAUAGUACCACAAGAGGAAGAGACGGCUAACUCUGUGCCAGCAGCCGCGGUAAUACAGAGGUCUCAAGCGUUGUUCGGAAUCACUGGGCUUAAAGCGUGCGUAGGCUGUUUCGUAAGUCGUGUGUGAAAGGCGCGGGCUCAACCCGCGGACGGCACAUGAUACUGCCAGACUAGAGUAAUGGAGGGGGAACCGGAAUUCGCGGUGUAGCAGUGAAAUGCGUAGAUAUCGAGAGGAACACCCGUGGCGAAGGCGGGUUGCUGGACAUUAACUGACGCUGAGGCACGAAGGCCAGGGGAGCGAAAGGGAUUAGAUACCCCUGUAGUC
rnacentral:rRNA from 1 species